rnacentral:rRNA from 1 species
GUAGGGAAUAUUGGACAAUGGGGGGAACCCUGAUCCAGCCAUGCCGCGUGGAGGAAGACUGCCCUCUGGGUUGUAAACUCCUUUUAUAUGGGAAGAACCGUCCUCAUUAAUGAGUGACCUGACGGUACCAUAGGAAUAAGCACCGGCUAACUCCGUGCCAGCAGCCGCGGUAAUACGGAGGGUGCAAGCGUUAUCCGGAUUCACUGGGUGUAAAGGGUGCGUAGGCUGAUAAAUAAGUCAGUGGUGAAAUCAACGGGCUCAACCUGUUAACUGCCAUUGAUACUGUGUAUCUUGAAUAUGAGAGAGGUAGGCGGAAUGUUGCAUGUAGCGGUGAAAUGCUUAGAUAUGCUACGGAACACCGAUUGCGAAGGCAGCUUACUAUUUCGUAAUUGACGCUGAGGCACGAAAGCGUGGGUAGCGAACAGGAUUAGAAACCCGGGUAGUCC